rnacentral:rRNA from 1 species
UGUGUAGGCGGCUCCUUAAGUUUGGUGUGAAAUCUCCCGGCUCAACUGGGAGGGUGCGCCGAAUACUGAAGGGCUAGAGUGCGGGAGAGGAGAGUGGAAUUCCUGGUGUAGCGGUGAAAUGCGUAGAUAUCAGGAGGAACACCGGUGGUGUAGACGGCUCUCUGGACCGUAACUGACGCUGAGACACGAAAGCGUGGGUAGCAAACAGGAUUAGAUACCCUGGUAGUCCACGCCCUAAACGAUGCAUAUUUGGUGUGGGUCAUUCAGUUGAUCCGUGCCGGAGCUAACGCGUUAAAUAUGCCGCCUGGGGAGUACAGUCGCAAGGCUGAA